GCCCGGCUAGCUCAGUCGGUAGAGCAUGCGACUCUUAAUCUCAGGGUCGUGGGUUUGAGCCCCACGUUGGGCG
rnacentral:tRNA from 2 species